CGCUGGCGGCGUGCUUAACACAUGCAAGUCGAACGGAAAGGCCCUGCUUUUGUGGGGUGCUCGAGUGGCGAACGGGUGAGUAACACGUGAGUAACCUGCCCUUGACUUUGGGAUAACUUCAGGAAACUGGGGCUAAUACCGGAUAGGAGCUCCUGCUGCAUGGUGGGGGUUGGAAAGUUUCGGCGGUUGGGGAUGGACUCGCGGCUUAUCAGCUUGUUGGUGGGGUAGUGGCUUACCAAGGCUUUGACGGGUAGCCGGCCUGAGAGGGUGACCGGCCACAUUGGGACUGAGAUACGGCCCAGACUCCUACGGGAGGCAGCAGUGGGGAAUAUUGCACAAUGGGCGGAAGCCUGAUGCAGCAACGCCGCGUGCGGGAUGACGGCCUUCGGGUUGUAAACCGCUUUCGCCUGUGACGAAGCGUGAGUGACGGUAAUGGGUAAAGAAGCACCGGCUAACUACGUGCCAGCAGCCGCGGUGAUACGUAGGGUGCGAGCGUUGUCCGGAUUUAUUGGGCGUAAAGGGCUCGUAGGUGGUUGAUCGCGUCGGAAGUGUAAUCUUGGGGCUUAACCCUGAGCGUGCUUUCGAUACGGGUUGACUUGAGGAAGGUAGGGGAGAAUGGAAUUCCUGGUGGAGCGGUGGAAUGCGCAGAUAUCAGGAGGAACACCAGUGGCGAAGGCGGUUCUCUGGGCCUUUCCUGACGCUGAAGAGCGAAAGCGUGGGGAGCGAACAGGCUUAGAUACCCUGGUAGUCCACGCUGUAAACGGUGGGUACUAGGUGUGGGGUCCAUUCCACGGGUUCCGUGCCGUAGCUAACGCUUUAAGUACCCCGCCUGGGGAGUACGGCCGCAAGGCUAAAACUCAAAGGAAUUGACGGGGCCCCGCACAAGCGGCGGAGCAUGCGGAUUAAUUCGAUGCAACGCGUAGAACCUUACCUGGGUUUGACAUGGAUCGGGAGUGCUCAGAGAUGGGUGUGCCUCUUUUGGGGUCGGUUCACAGGUGGUGCAUGGCUGUCGUCAGCUCGUGUCGUGAGAUGUUGGGUUAAGUCCCGCAACGAGCGCAACCCUUGUUCACUGUUGCCAGCACGUUAUGGUGGGGACUCAGUGGAGACCGCCGGGGUCAACUCGGAGGAAGGUGGGGAUGACGUCAAGUCAUCAUGCCCCUUAUGUCCAGGGCUUCACGCAUGCUACAAUGGCUGGUACAGAGAGUGGCGAGCCUGUGAGGGUGAGCGAAUCUCGGAAAGCCGGUCUCAGUUCGGAUUGGGGUCUGCAACUCGACCUCAUGAAGUCGGAGUCGCUAGUAAUCGCAGAUCAGCAACGCUGCGGUGAAUACGUUCCCGGGGCUUGUACACACCGCCCGUCAAGUCAUGAAAGUUGGUAACACCCGAAGCCGGUGGCCUAACCGUUGUGGGGGAGCCGUCGAAGGUGGGACUGGUGAUUAGG
rnacentral:rRNA from 1 species